rnacentral:misc_RNA from 1 species
AACGCAUAUUGCGCCUACUAGUACUCUAGUAGGCAUGCCUAUUCGAGCGUCGUUUCUACUCUCAAUUACUCGUCUGUAGUUGGUGCUGGAAAUCUGCUUACAUGGUAAGCUGGUCUCUAAAACAUAAUGGCUCAGGACACAGCUAGCUUUUUACGUAGUAAAUGAAUCUCGUUAAAGGGAGCUGAGGCCUGUAGCCCACUAAGAAAUAGACACAAGUUGACCUCGAAUUAGGUAGGAAUACCCGCUGAACUUAA